rnacentral:rRNA from 1 species
UCUACGGGAGGCUGCAGUGAGGAAUAUUGGUCAAUGGGCGAGAGCCUGAACCAGCCAAGUCGCGUGAAGGAUGACGGCCCUACGGGUUGUAAACUUCUUUUGUCAGGGAGCAAUUGAGUCCACGUGUGGUCUUAGCGAGAGUACCUGAAGAAAAAGCAUCGGCUAACUCCGUGCCAGCAGCCGCGGUAAUACGGAGGAUGCGAGCGUUAUCCGGAUUUAUUGGGUUUAAAGGGUGCGUAGAUGGGUUGUUAAGGCAGUUGUGAAAGUUUGCGGCUCAACCGUAAAAUUGCAAUUGAUACUGGCAGUCGUGAGUACAGUUGAGGUAGGCGGAAUUCGUGGUGUAGCGGUGAAAUGCGUAGAUAUCACGAAGAACUCCGAUUGCGAAGGCAGCUUACUAAACUGCCACUGACAUUGAUGCUCGAAAGUGUGGGUAUCAAACAGGAUUAGAUACCCUUGUAGUC